CUUCCUGCAUGGGGCCUGCUUCUCCCUCUGCUUGUGUCUCUGCCUCUCUGUGUCUCUCAUGAAUAAAUAAAUAAAAUCUUAAAAAAUUCUAUUUCUUUGGUUGCCUUAGUAAAAUAAGUGAUUGAGGAAAAAGAGUAUUCAAGAAGAAACUUUUGCCUAAUUAUCAUUUCUAUGUAUCUAGUAUUUGCUACUUUAUCAUGCCCCUUUUACUCCUCACUUUAUUAGUUAUGAGAAAUUAAUAAAUUCAGUUUGUUUUUGAAAUCAGAACAAGUAGAUUCUAAUCCUAACUCUGCUUUCAGCAGGUGGGUGACAUGGGCAACUGUCUUAAGCUCCCUAGGACUCUGUUUUUUCAUUUGCAAAAUAAGGAAUGAUGUAUAUUAGACAAUUAUUGUGAGGGUUAUUUUCAACUUGUAAAUUGCAAUGCUUUAUGACUGGCAGAAAGUGGACACUUAAUACAAAUUGUUCUCCUUUCUUUAGCUCUUCUUUAAAAAAAAUAAAACUAAUGAAGAAAUACAAUACUAAUGAAGAGAGAUCCCAGAGUUUUAAAAAAAAGAAAGAAAGAAAGAAGACAACACUUAUGGGAUAUGUUCCAGAUACACAGAGCUGGCACUUCUCCUGAAGGAGUUCAGGUGGCAGCAGGGCCUGCGCCAUCAAAGGCCUGGUGGCAGUUAGAGAGCUGGAGCUCCCUCUUCGACCCUGAACCCGCCGUCUCUCUCUCCUACUAUUAACCCUCUACUUCUACCAUUGAAUCCAAAAGCCCAUCGCCCCUGUCAGAGUGAGCCUGCACUCUGCUUACCAGCAACGCUCCAGCUUGGAGCUUGGCUUCCUGACCCCACAGGUAUAGUGUGGGUCCAAGCCAGCCAUCUAGGACAGAGCCACGUGGCAGUGCAGGGGUUCUCACACUUCUGUGUGCAUCAGGACCACCUAGAGAGCUCGUGCAAGCAGCCUAUGGGGCCGCAGCCAUGGGGUUUCUGACCCAUUAGGUCUGGGGUGGGGCCU
rnacentral:lncRNA from 1 species